AAGGCUUUAGCUUAAUUAAAGUAUCUGUUUUGCAUACAGAAGCUGUGGGAUAAAGUCCCGCAAGUCUUA
rnacentral:tRNA from 1 species